rnacentral:lncRNA from 1 species
UAUAUAAAGGACACAAACAAAUACGUAUAAAAUAGAUUUAGUUGUUAUAUUUUGCUCUCAAUCAUAAAAUUACGUCUGCUACCCGCAUUAACAAUUAAAGUUACCCUUCCGGAGUACCUGAGAUUACCCCUAGUUUUUUGGUGGGGUUCGUGUUGUUUAUUCUUUAGUUUUCUAUGUUGUGUCAUGUGUGCUGUUGUUUGUUUGUCUUUUUCAUUUUUAGCCAUGGCGUUGUCAGUUUGUUUUAGAUUUAUGAGUUUGACUGUCCCUUUGGUAUCUUUCGUCCCUCUUUUAAAGAGAGAGAGAGAGAGUUAAUAUCAUGCCGGAUACGGAAUAAACCUUUCCGAUUCCGGAAUGAUACAGAUACCAGACUGUGAACUAGCAAC